rnacentral:rRNA from 1 species
UACGAGGGGAGCAAGCGUUGUUCGGAUUUACUGGGCGUAAAGGGCGCGUAGGCGGCGUGACUAGUCACUUGUGAAAUCUCCGAGCUUAACUUGGAAACUGCCGUUGAUACUAUCAAUCUUGAAUAUCGCGUAGGUAAGCGGAAUAUGUCAUGUAGCGGUGAAAUGCUUAGAUAUGACAUAGAACACCAAUUGCGAAGGCAGCUUACUUCACGAUCAUUGACACUGAGGCACGAAAGCGUGGGGAGCAAACAGG